UCAGAUGAUGCUAACCCAGAGACAACAUACAGAACUACCACAUUUUGACUCGUGCAGUAUUCUUGCUCUAUGUCGGGUCCACCCUUUUUCUGGCUGUGGUGCCUCCAUUGUCCUAACACUCUUCAGCAACCUGUCAAGAUCUUUAUAUGGUGGCCACCAGGAGUAGCCAUCUGCAUACCAGGACUUGGAAGCUGGUCCAGUCGUCCCUUCUCCCUCAAACUCCACGAUUAGAAAUCAACUGUUGUUGAGAGGUCAUCCACUAAAUGAAUGCCAAGUGUAGAGGAUGGCAGUGGAUAGUCAAACAAGGAUUCCUGGUGGUUGAAGAAGUCUUUUGAGUUUGUUUAGGUGAUUCUCAUACUUGAAAGCACUGAAGUUGUCAAGGACACCAUGCUUUUUUGCAUCAUCUGCAAGAUGUACAAGACAGUGUGCAUUGUAGGACAAGAAUUGUGGACCAUACAGUUGACCAAAGUGAGAGACAAAGAGCACCACCUACAAGUCAGAGGACCCAUCUUUAGCCACAAGAGAAGAAGCCGUCUCAUGAUUCCGAGGCACACAAGGUGCAUGUAGUCGAGGGGGAAACCAGAGACCAUGUUUAGGGAUGUUUCUUCAAGAGUGUCCCUAGGAUGGGCCAGAACUGUGUUGCUGAGCUCUUAUAAAGUGGCAAACCAUCAAUGCUGACCUGAAGCUCCAGCGUGUGAAUGUUGCGCAGAAUGUCAACAUUCUGAUGUAGCACCUCUGCAAUUGAAUUCAGCACUCCGAAAUGCAAGGCAUUCGAUUGGCUGGUAGGUGCUGAUGUCGAGCUGCAAGAACAACAUGGCACGGGUUCAAAGCCUUAUUCAACUGAGAAAAUUGAUCAGCGUCAUGGUACAAGCGAAGUCUGAAUGGUUUGGUAAGGUGAACUUGAAACGAAAUCCCGCAACCGUGAGUUUGUUAAACUGUUGUCACUGAACAGGACUUUUUGUGAUUUCGUGUAUGUUAAAUGGACAUCAUAUACGUUUAGUGCUUGUGUAACUUGAUCCGGGCCGCUGUUAUUACGUUAGCUCGGAGCCUCUGUUCAUGGUUGACUUGCCUUACAUUUGUCAGAGCUGGUGGGUCUAAAUCAAUCCGAGAUAGCCCAUUACGAUGUCCAAUACUAAAGCUAACUUGUAGGAAUGAAUGAAAACUAGUGAGCAAUUUCGAAAAGCCGCUGAGUGUAAAUCUUACUUGUUAUUGCGGUGUAAAAUACAAGUGCACUUGAUUGUCCACUUAGUUUUUGGACCAUCACAAAUGGGUUUCCCUGAAAAGUAUACUAUUUGAGG